rnacentral:rRNA from 1 species
UACGUAGGGCGCAAGCGUUGUCCGGAAUUAUUGGGCGUAAAGGGCUCGUAGGCGGUCCGUCACGUCGGGAGUGAAAACUCAGGGCUCAACCCUGAGCGUGCUUCCGAUACGGGCGGACUAGAGGUAUGCAGGGGAGAACGGAAUUCCUGGUGUAGCGGUGAAAUGCGUUGAUAUCAGGAGGAACACCCAUGGCGAAGGCAGGUUACUGGGCAUUAUCUGACGCUGAGGUGCGAAAGCGUGGGGAGCAAACAGG